rnacentral:tRNA from 1 species
ACUGAUAGCACUUAAAGCGACGCUUUCUAAGGAGGAUUCUAGUAGGCAUACCAGUUGUUUCGAGGUAAGGGA